rnacentral:rRNA from 1 species
GACGUAGGUGGCGAGCGUUACCCGGAUUUACUGGGCGUAAAGCGCGUGCAGGUGGUUUGAUAAGUCGGGCGUGAAAUCUCCUGGCUCAACUGGGAGAGGCCGUCCGAUACUAUCAGACUUGAGGGCAGUAGAGGGAGGUGGAAUUCCGGGUGUAGUGGUGAAAUGCGUAGAUAUCCGGAGGAACACCGGUGGCGAAGGCGGCCUCCUGGACUGCCCCUGACACUCAGACGCGAAAGCUAGGGGAGCAAACGGG